rnacentral:SRP_RNA from 1 species
GCUGGGCAUGGUGGCACGUGCCUGUAGUCCCAGCUACUCGGGAGGCUGAGGUGGGAGGAUCGCUUGAGCGCAGGAGUUCUGGGCUGCAGUGUGCUAUGCCGAUUGGGUGUCCGCACUAAGUUCAGCAUCAAUAUGGUGACCUCCUGGGAGCGGUGGACCACCAGGUUGCCUAAGGAGGGGUGAACUGGCCCAGGUCGGAAACGGAGCAGGUCAAAACUCCCAUGCUGAUCAGUAGUGGGAUCGCACUGUGAACAGCCACUGCACUCCAGCCCGAGCAACAUAGCAAGACCCUGUCUCU